CCCUUAGAUGUUCUGGGCCGCACGCGUGCUACACUGAGUGGAUCAGCGGGUCAGGUUGCGCGAAAGCGUUUCCUAAUCUUUAAAUCCGCUCGUGAUGGGGAUUGACGGUUGCAAUUUUCUGUCAUGAACGAGGAAUACCUUGUAAGCGCGGGUCAUCAUCCCGCGCUGAAUACGUCCCUGCCCUUUGUACACACCGCCCGUCGCUCCUACCGAUUGAGUGGUCCGGUGAGGCUUUGGGAUCUGAGCGGAAAGAGCGUUUCGCUGUUUCUGCUCGGAAAACUCAGUCGAACCUAUCAUUUAGAGGAAGGAGAAGUCGUAACA
rnacentral:rRNA from 1 species